rfam:Erinaceus europaeus unplaced genomic scaffold scaffold00230, whole genome shotgun sequence
ACCCAGGGUGUUAAUCCAGUCCAGGGGAGCCCCCCCCCCACUCUGUGCAUUUAACUGGGACAUUGAAGCACAGGCUAGAGGAGACGACUGGGUAGAAACUGUUACUCCUUCAUUUACUUCCCAGCCGACAACA